CUAGCAAUCCGCCUGAGUUGUCUUUUUGACUCGGCGGGCAGCUCCGAGAAAUCUAAGUAAGGUUCUGGGGGAAGUAUGGUUGCAAAGCUGAAACUUAAAGGAAUUGACGGAAGGGCACUACAAGGAGUGAAGCCUGCGGCUUAAUUUGACUCAACACGGGGAAACCUACCUAGCCCAGACACUGAAAGGAUUGACAGAUUGAGAGCUCUUUCUUGAUUCGGUGGAUAGUGGUGCAUGGCCGUUCGUAGUUGGUGGAGUGAUCUGUCUGGUUAAUUUCGAUAACGAACGAGAUUCUAUCCUGCUAAAUAGACGUGAUGUUCGCCGCACAUCACGUGUAACUUCUUAGAGGGACAGGUUGCUUUCAGCAACAUGAAAGAGAGCAAUAACAGGUCAGUAAUGCCCUUAGAUGUCUAGGGCCGCACGCGCGCUACAAUGAAGGAAAAAGCGUGUCGUUUCCCUUGUUUGAGAGAACUGGGUAACCCCAUGAAACUUCUUCAUGAUUGGGAUUGGGGCUUGCAAUUAUUCCCCUUGAACGAGGAAUUCCUAGUAAACGCUAGUCAUCACCUAGUGUUGACUAAGUCCCUGCCCUUUGUCCACACCGCCCGUCGCUACUACUGAUUGGAUGAUUUAGUGAGGUCUUCCGAUUGACGUCUCAUGUGGCCUU
rnacentral:rRNA from 1 species